rnacentral:rRNA from 1 species
UACGUAGGUGGCGAGCGUUGUCCGGAUUUACUGGGCGUAAAGAGCGCGCAGGCGGUCGUUCAAGUCGCGUGUGAAAGCCCCCGGCUCAACUGGGGAGGGUCACGCGAUACUGAUCGACUCGAAGGCAGGAGAGGGUAGUGGAAUUCCCGGUGUAGUGGUGAAAUGCGUAGAUAUCGGGAGGAACACCAGUGGCGAAGGCGGCUCACUGGACCGGUAUUGACGCUGAGGUGCGAAAGCGUGGGGAGCAAACAGG